rnacentral:rRNA from 1 species
UACAGAGGUCUCAAGCGUUGUUCGGAUUCAUUGGGCGUAAAGGGUGCGUAGGCGGCGCGGUAAGUCGGGUGUGAAAUCUUGGAGCUUAACUCCGAAACUGCAUUCGAUACUGCCGUGCUUGAGGACUGGAGAGGAGACUGGAAUUUACGGUGUAGCGGUGAAAUGCGUAGAUAUCGUAAGGAAGACCAGUGGCGAAGGCGGCUCACUGGCCCGGUACUGACGCUGAUGUGCGAAAGCGUGGGGAGCAAACAGG